UUGAAGGGGUGCAUAUAUUAGAAAAAGGAGACCUUUAGAAAUCAACCAUUGUUAUAAUUUGAAUCCUGGAGCACUUUGCUAAGCCCACGAGUGCGUAACAUGCGAUCUACGUACAGUAUGCAUAGCAGAUUGUUCCCAGGAGCAGACAAUCUUUUGUUUAAACGUUAUUUCAAUUUCUAAAGGUCUCCUUUUUCUAAUAUA